UCGAGCGGACAGAUGGGAGCUUGCUCCCUGAUGUUAGCGGCGGACGGGUGAGUAACACGUGGGUAACCUGCCUGUAAGACUGGGAUAACUCCGGGAAACCGGGGCUAAUACCGGAUGCUUGUUUGAACCGCAUGGUUCAAACAUAAAAGGUGGCUUCGGCUACCACUUACAGAUGGACCCGCGGCGCAUUAGCUAGUUGGUGAGGUAACGGCUCACCAAGGCAACGAUGCGUAGCCGACCUGAGAGGGUGAUCGGCCACACUGGGACUGAGACACGGCCCAGACUCCUACGGGAGGCAGCAGUAGGGAAUCUUCCGCAAUGGACGAAAGUCUGACGGAGCAACGCCGCGUGAGUGAUGAAGGUUUUCGGAUCGUAAAGCUCUGUUGUUAGGGAAGAACAAGUACCGUUCGAAUAGGGCGGUACCUUGACGGUACCUAACCAGAAAGCCACGGCUAACUACGUGCCAGCAGCCGCGGUAAUACGUAGGUGGCAAGCGUUGUCCGGAAUUAUUGGGCGUAAAGGGCUCGCAGGCGGUUUCUUAAGUCUGAUGUGAAAGCCCCCGGCUCAACCGGGGAGGGUCAUUGGAAACUGGGGAACUUGAGUGCAGAAGAGGAGAGUGGAAUUCCACGUGUAGCGGUGAAAUGC
rnacentral:rRNA from 1 species